rnacentral:rRNA from 1 species
GAUGAACGCUGACAGAAUGCUUAACACAUGCAAGUCGAUUCGAUUUACCUUCGGGUAUUGAGGAUGGCGGACGGGUGAGUAACGCGUAAGGAACUUGCCUCUUGGUCUGGGACAACUGUUGGAAACGACAGCUAAUACCGGAUAUUAUGAGAUUCUCGCAUGGGAAACUUAUGAAAGCUAUAUGCGCCAAGAGAGAGCCUUGCGUUCCAUUAGCUAGUUGGUGGGGUAACGGCCCACCAAGGCGACGAUGGAUAGCCGGCCUGAGAGGGUGAACGGCCACAAGGGGACUGAGACACGGCCCUUACUCCUACGGGAGGCAGCAGUGGGGAAUAUUGGNNNNNGGGCCACAAGCCUGAUCCAGCAAUUCUGUGUGCACGAUGAAGGUCUUCGGAUUGUAAAGUGCUUUCAGUUGGGAAGAAGAAAGUGACGGUACCAACAGAAGAAGCGACGGCUAAAUACGUGCCAGCAGCCGCGGUAAUACGUAUGUCGCAAGCGUUAUCCGNAUUUAUUGGGCGUAAAGCGCGUCUAGGCNGAAAAUAAGUCUGANGUUAAAAUGCGGGGCUCAACUCCGUAUUGCGUUGGAAACUGUUUUUCUAGAGUACUGNA